UCUGCCCAUUCUGCCUGUCUCCGAGUCUGAAAAUUGUGAAGUAUAAUAAUCCCUGGGAACGUUCUGUGUACCAGACUGGAUCAGAUUCUAGGCCUUGCGCCACCUCCCUCCUCCGCACUUUCACUUUCCCCAGCCACAGCUCUCUCUUCCCUCCCCCACCUAUAUUUUUGGAGGAUGCAGCCUAAAGGAAAAGUGAAAGUGACCAGCCUUUGUUUUGAUUGCGGAGAAAAACAGCCCAGUUGGGGUUCACAGCCUGUGGUCCGCAUCUCGGGAACACAAGCGACUAGACUUGGCUCUGAAUGGGACAGUGCUAAGAAAUGGGAUCCUAAACACAUCUGGAACUAACAAUGGAUCUGUGGGUGCAGCCUGGACCAGACUAAGCAUCUGCCUCUCUGCCUGCUCUGUCCCACCCCCACCCGUUGGCCACAGGGCUCCCUAAAGAUUAUGCUGAAAGGAGGAGAUGCGUGUGCAGUGCUCAGUACAGAAUUCAAGUAUAUCCAGAAGAGUAAACGGAGGGAGACGGAGGCCUGAGAAUUUGCCCUCGUGGGACCACGGAUGCAGAGCACAUUUGCAAUGGAGCUGAAUAAUUCACCGUUUGGGAGCUAUAAGGGAAAAUAUGAUCCCCCCCCUUCUGCUCCUGUAUUUCUAAACUCCCACGUGUCAAUCAUCUAGAACAACCCUUAUGCUGGAAACUGGAUGAAUCAGUUUGGCUCAGGCUCUCACUUGGAUAACUACAAUUAAAAACUAGAUACAGAGGGCAAACAAACAUCUGUUGGGUGCCUUAUCUUCAGAGGGCCCUCGACUUUGUCUUGACAGUUAACACUCUAUGGUGAAUUAUAAUCUCCACUAAUUCACCCAAGUGGUAUUUAACUCCUCAGACCUGGUAAAGAUCCCAUGUGCUUAUUGUUGCCAUGACUUUGUGCCUUCUCCAGCCAAAGAAUAACCAGGCUUCCAUACUAUGCUUUGAACAAAAGGUUUGACUGGAAACUGACAGGCUAAUGCCAGGGUGUCCUGGAUUUGUUAGGUUGCAUGCUGUGAUGAAUGAUUUCUGAACAACUUGGUAUAGACCCCUGUAAGCAGCUAAAUUACAAAAGAGCUGAAAAAGUUUCUUCACCUUGGACCUUCUGACAUCUUUGGUUUUAACUCUGCUGGCAGGCUUGUUCCUAUGACUUCAUUAACAGCCAAAUCCUGAUACAUCAAAACCAAAGUAAGAACUUCUUGUGACUUCAGGGUCAUGCUGAAUUUGCUUGUCUGGUACUGAGUGCUUAGGCCUGGUCUACGCUACAAAGUUAGUUCAAUGCAAGUCAUCUUGGAUCAGCCUAUUUGCGCAUGUGUCUACACUCAAAUUUGUCACUGGCUGAUGUAAGUGCCCCACUACAGCGACACAGUAAAAACACCUGCCCGAACUGCGGAGAGCCAUGGUUGACCUACUGAGGUCAAUGCAGAGCGAGUGUAGCCACUGCAUGACAUGUGUCAAUUCCAACGACCUCCACCAGCUGUCCCAAUGGACAGUGACCACCCUGGUUAUAUUUUUAAACUCCGCUGCCUAUGGGUCACAAAGACUGGAAACCACACACACACACACACACACACACACACACACACACACACACACACCAGGGCCAGCUCCAGGCACCAGCGCAGCAAGCAGGUGCUUGGGGCGGCCAACGGAAAGGAGCGGCACAUCCAGCUCUUUGGCAGCAAUUCGGCGGCGAAUCCCUCAGUCCCUCUCGGAGGGAAGGACCUGCCGCCGAAGAAUGAAGUGGCGUGGUGAAGCUGCUGCUGAUUGUGAUCGCGACUUUUUUUUUUUUUCCCCCGCCGCUUGGGGUGGCAAAAAUCCUGGAGCCGGCCCUGCUCCCAACUUAACUCCCCCUGUGUGCUUUCGAAAUGCCUCUUCCUGAUUGCCCAGCUUGGCGAGCACACACAGCUCACCUUUGUUACAUACAGUUGCCUUGCCUAACUGACCAUGCCAGCUCCAUGCACACAGACGUACUAGACACAGUCCUGCCUGGAGUAGACAGAAAGUAUUGGAUUUCCUGGGCACGGACCAGCUGUAGAAACGUGGACAUCCCUGAGCAGAUUGCAUGGGGGGUGCAGGGAAAGGGUUAUAACAGGGAUCAGCAGCAGUGCUGUGUAAACGCGAAGGAACUUUGCCAGGAAUAUCACAAGGCCAGGGAGGCCAAUGAUGGAUCUGGUGCUGCGCCACAGACCUACCACUUCUACAAGGAACUGCAUGCCAUCCAUGGUAGAGACCUCACCAGCAACCCACAGACCACUGUGGAUUCCUCAUGGGAGCCCAAGACCCUAGCUGUGAAUGGCGAGGAGGAGGAUGGGAUGGGGGAGACAUAGCAGGGGACUCCAGCCAUGCUGUGAGCCAGGAGCUGUUUGAGGCUCCACCAAAGUCUAGCAAGUCCUACCAGGCGAGCACAGAUGAGCCUAAUGAAGGGGGAAGAGAACUCAGUUUUCGGCAGGGUGGCCUUGAGGGAUGCCCCCUCCUUGCCAGCAGAACACCUGACCCUGAAGAGGAGGAGAAAGAAGAGAAUGAGGGAGGACAUGAUUUGUGAGAUCCUGCAAGCCAGUGAGGCAUCAGACCAUGAACAAAAGGCUUGGAGAGCCAGCAUGACGAACAGCAUGGAGAAGGAAAGAGAGAACAAGUAAAAGGCUCCAGGAGUUGCAGCAGGAAAUGUAGCAGAAUGUAGUAGGUCUUCUCAGUCAGCAAAUUCAAGUGCUGCAGGCCCUGAUUGACCUACGGGUCCAGAAAUCCCAGACCUGUCCACCUUUUGCAGUCCUUGGAGAAUUCCAUGGUCGCUGCUCCUUGCAACUCCUAAUAUACCACAUGGCAUCACAGGGCACAUCCUUACCCCUUCCAUUCCAUGCCAGGGACAGUAAGGAAAACCACAGCUUUACAUACACUGACCUGUGAG